UGGGGGAUAGCUCAGUGGUAGAGCCCAUGCUUAGCAUGCACGAGGUCCUGGGUUCAAUCCCCAGUACCUCUA
rnacentral:tRNA from 1 species